UACGGAGGGCGCAAGCGUUACUCGGAAUCACUGGGCGUAAAGAGCAUGUAGGCUGGUUUGUAAGUUGGAAGUGAAAUCCUAUGGCUCAACCAUAGAACUGCUUUGAAAACUGUUGACCUAGAAUAUGGGAGAGGUAGAUGGAAUUUCUGGUGUAGGGGUAAAAUCCGUAGAGAUCAGAAGGAAUACCGAUUGCGAAGGCGAUCUACUGGAACAUUAUUGACGCUGAGACGCGAAAGCGUGGGGAGCGAACAGG
rnacentral:rRNA from 1 species